UCGGUGGCUGUGACUGUAGCGGAGUUGUGAGGGUGAAGAUGAGGUGGGCGGCCUCUGUGACUGAGGCAGAGCUGUGAGGGUGAAGAUGAGGUGGGCGGCCUCGGUGGCUUGGGCGGAGCUGUGAGGCUGAAGAUGAGGUGGGCGUCCUCGGUGGCUGUGGCUGCGCUGUGAGGGUGAAGAUGAGGUGGGUGGCCUCGAUGGCUGAGGUGGAGCUGUGAGGGUGAAGAUGAGGUGGGUGGCCUCGGUGACUGAGGUGGAGCUGUGAGGGUGAAGACGAGGUGGGCGGCCUUGGUGGCUGAGGCGGAGCUGUGAGGGUGAAGAUGAGGUGGGCGGCCUCGGUGGCUGUGGCUGAGGCAGAGCUGUGAGGGUG
rnacentral:lncRNA from 1 species